rnacentral:rRNA from 1 species
AGUGAACGCUGGCGGUAGGCCUAACACAUGCAAGUCGAACGGCAGCACAGUAAGAGCUUGCUCUUACGGGUGGCGAGUGGCGGACGGGUGAGGAAUACAUCGGAAUCUACUUUUUCGUGGGGGAUAACGUAGGGAAACUUACGCUAAUACCGCAUACGACCUACGGGUGAAAGCAGGGGAUCUUCGGACCUUGCGCGAUUGAAUGAGCCGAUGUCGGAUUAGCUAGUUGGCGGGGUAAAGGCCCACCAAGGCGACGAUCCGUAGCUGGUCUGAGAGGAUGAUUCGCCACACUGGAACCGAGACACGGUCCAGACUCCUACGGGAGGCAGCAGUGGGGAAUAUUGGACAAUGGGCGCAAGCCUGAUCCAGCCAUACCGCGUGGGUGAAGAAGGCCUUCGGGUUGUAAAGCCCUUUUGUUGGGAAAGAAAAGCAGCAGGUUAAUACCCCGCUGUUCUGACGGUACUCAAAGAAUAAGCCCCGGCUAACUUCGUG